rnacentral:tRNA from 1 species
GGGGGUGUAGUUCAAUGGUAAAACACUCACCUAGCAUGGGACACCCUGGGUUCAAUAUCCAGCACCAAAA